rnacentral:rRNA from 1 species
UACGAAGGGGGGCUAGCGUUGCUCGGAAUCACUGGGCGUAAAGGGUGCGUAGGCGGGUUUUUAAGUCAGGGGUGAAAUCCUGGAGCUCAACUCCAGAACUGCCUUUGAUACUGAAGAUCUUGAGUCCGGGAGAGGUGAGUGGAACUGCGAGUGUAGAGGUGAAAUUCGUAGAUAUUCGCAAGAACACCAGUGGCGAAGGCGGCUCACUGGCCCGAUACUGACGCUGAGGCACGAAAGCGUGGGGAGCAAACAGGG